rnacentral:rRNA from 1 species
GACGAACGCUGGCGGCGUGCUUAACACAUGCAAGUCGAACGGAAAGGCCCUGCUUUUGUGGGGUGCUCGAGUGGCGAACGGGUGAGUAACGCGUGAGUAACCUGCCCUUGACUUUGGGAUAACUUCAGGAAACUGGGGCUAAUACCGGAUAGGAGCUCCUGCUGCAUGGUGGGGGUUGGAAAGUUUCGGCGGUUGGGGAUGGACUCGCGGCUUAUCAGCUUGUUGGUGGGGUAGUGGCUUACCAAGGCUUUGACGGGUAGCCGGCCUGAGAGGGUGACCGGCCAUAUUGGGACUGAGAUACGGCCCAGACUCCUACGGGAGGCAGCAGUGGGGAAUAUUGCACAAUGGGCGGAAGCCUGAUGCAGCAACGCCGCGUGCGGGAUGACGGCCUUCGGGUUGUAAACCGCUUUCGCCUGUGACGAAGCGUGAGUGACGGUAAUGGGUAAAGAAGCACCGGCUAACUACGUG